UUAUGGCCGUAUCAAGCAGAAACACUAGUUCCCAUACAAUGACCAAAGUUAAGCAACGUCGAGGCUGUUCAGUAUUUGGAUGGGUGACAGCUUGGGAAUAACAGGUGCUGUAA